GGCGCUGUGGCUUAACUGGUCAAAGCACCUGUCUGGUAAACAGGCGGUCCUGGGUUCGAAUCCCAGCAGUGGCU